rnacentral:rRNA from 1 species
UACGGGGGGAGCAAGCGUUGUUCGGAUUUACUGGGCGUAAAGGGCGCGUAGGCGGCCACCGCAAGUCAGUUGUGAAAUCUCUGGGCUUAACCCAGAAAGGUCAACUGAUACUGCGGGGCUAGAGUGCAGAAGGGGCAACUGGAAUUCUCGGUGUAGCGGUGAAAUGCGUAGAGAUGUGGAGGAACACCGAUGGCGAAGGCAGCCCCCUGGGUCAACACUGACGCUCAUGCACGAAAGCGUGGGGAGCAAACAGG